rnacentral:rRNA from 1 species
AUAAGCAAUUAUACCGUGAAACUGCGAAUGGCUCAUUAAAUCAGUUAUCGUUUAUUUGAUAAUACCUUACUACUUGGAUAACCGUGGUAAUUCUAGAGCUAAUACAUGCUGAAAAUCCCGACUUCGGAAGGGAUGUGUUUAUUAGAUAAAAAACCAAUGCCCUUCGGGGCUUUUUGGUGAUUCAUGAUAACUUUACGGAUCGCAUAGCCUUGCGCUGGCGACGGUUCAUUCAAAUUUCUGCCCUAUCAACUUUCGAUGGUAAGGUAUUGGCUUACCAUGGUUUCAACGGGUAACGGGGAAUUAGGGUUCGAUUCCGGAGAGGGAGCCUGAGAAACGGCUACCACAUCCAAGGAAGGCAGCAGGCGCGCAAAUUACCCAAUCCCGACACGGGGAGGUAGUGACAAUAAAUACUGAUACAGGGCUCUUUUGGGUCUUGUAAUUGGAAUGAGUACAAUUUAAACCUCUUAACGAGGAACAAUUGGAGGGCAAGUCUGGUGCCAGCAGCCGCGGUAAUUCCAGCUCCAAUAGCGUAUAUUAAAGUUGUUGCAGUUAAAAAGCUCGUAGUUGAAACUUGGGCCUGGCUGGCGGGUCCGCCUCACCGCGUGCACUCGUCCGGCCGGGCCUUCCUUCUGAAGAACCUCAUGCCCUUCACUGGGCGUGCUGGGGAAUCAGGACUUUUACUUUGAAAAAAUUAGAGUGUUCAAAGCAGGCCUUUGCUCGAAUACGUUAGCAUGGAAUAAUAAAAUAGGGCGUGCGUUUCUAUUUUGUUGGUUUCUAGAGACGCCGCAAUGAUUAACAGGAACAGUCGGGGGCAUCAGUAUUCAGUUGUCAGAGGUGAAAUUCUUGGAUUUACUGAAGACUAACUACUGCGAAAGCAUUUGCCAAGGAUGUUUUCAUUAAUCAGUGAACGAAAGUUAGGGGAUCGAAGACGAUCAGAUACCGUCGUAGUCUUAACCGUAAACUAUGCCGACUAGGGAUCGGGCGAUGUUCUUUUUCUGACUCGCUCGGCACCUUACGAGAAAUCAAAGUUUUUGGGUUCUGGGGGGAUUAUGGUCGCAAGGCUGAAACUUAAAGAAAUUGACGGAAGGUCA